CUUCUUCUAAGCCUCGUCAGGGCACUCAUCCCCUUCCAGUUCGUGGCUGUGCGGAGCGGCGUCUCGCCAUGGAUGGCCUCCGGGCCUCGAGUUCUUCUUUGAGGAAGCAGAGUCAGGAUUGGUUCCUAAGGCUGAUGCGGGUGAUAUUUUGGGUGGCGGAAUCGAUGUUGUGGAGUCUGUGGUUGCUUCCAUUCAUGAAGGGCGCGGGCGCUCCUCUUAUGUGAUUUCUUCUGAGCCGAUGGACGGCGGCAGCGGUAAAUAGCAGUUCGGGGUGGUGGACGCGAAUCUCGGCUCAUACAUAAACGGUGGGAGUGAAAUCAUUGGUGACUCAAACGAUAUGGCGGCUCAAAAAACGUCCACUGCAUCUAUGGAAGAGGAGGGAGAUGCAGAAGGGGUCGUCGUGAACAAAUCAAAGGCCUCCUGUUGGACUCGACGUGUUAGAAUUGGCAACGCGCCAGAAGAGAGGGAUGCCAACCCAAGCAGAGUCUCUACCCUCGAGGCUUCAAUAAGAGCUUAUGCAGACAACAAGGUUGGCACUGUUGUUAACCCGGCGCUUGGAACUAGCUUUGACACAGUUGAAGAAGCAUAUGUGCUUUACAACCUAUACUCCUGGGAGACAGGGUUUGGCGUUAGGUAUGCCAAAAGCAGGCUGAACGUCCAUUGGAAAAAAUGCAUGCAGGAGUUUGUAUGCGUGUGUGCGGGCAAGCCAUUGCAAUCGAACAGCCGCUCAACGAGGUGUGGAUGCCCCGCUUUGAUGUGGGUGCUUAGAUCGGAUGAUAAAGGGUGGUACAUAUGUGAACACAAAGCAGAGCACAACCAUGCAGUCUCAGUUAACUACAUGGAGAAGCUCCACUAGAAAUCUCACCGGCACAUAGAUCGAUACACCAAAGACUUGGUGGAAUAGCUAAGAGAAAACAAUAUAAGCCUGAGCAAGGUUUACAGUGUGGUUGGCAGUUUUUUUGGAUCUGUGAAGGAGGUGCCAUCCACAAAGAGAUCUCUCAAAACUAUUUGUUGGAAACUUAAUAGAGAGCGCAGUUUGAAAAUAAUGCUACAAAAACAAUAGAGGUGUUCAACGCAAUGCGGGCUGAAGAUCCUGAGUUCAAAUACAGUGUACAGGUUGAUGGUGAUGGUCGAGUCAAGACUUUGAUGUGGACAACAGGGAGAAGCAUUGAGAAGUUUAAGUGUUUUGGCGAUGUUAUGACGUUUGAUACGACAUACAAAACUAAUCUAUACGACAUGCCAUUUGGCCUCUUCGUUGGUGUCAAUAAUCACUUUCAAAGCAUUAAUUUUGGAGGGGUGCUGAUGAGCGAUGAGAAAAUUGAAACUUUUAAGUGGAUAUUCAUAGAGUUCUUUCACAUGAUAGGAGCGCCACAACCACACACAAUCCUCACAGACCAAGCUCGUGCAAUGGAGGUUGCCAUAGAAGAUGUCAUACCACAUACAACACAUUGGUGGAGUGAAAGUGCAAACCAUUUGCUGAAAGGAUAUGUGCCACCAGGAUCCCCGAUGCACCUUUUCGUCAGGCAACAUGAGAAGAUGUAAUUUGACAGAGAUUCAGAGGAGAGUAAUCAAGAGAAGAGAACCAAACUGGGAUAGCGAGGCAUGUAAAGAAGGAUUCAAGGGACAAAUGGUGUAAAAAUGAAUUCCGCGUCCAGGUCAACGAGCGUGCUGACGAAUUCAAAUGUGAAUAUGGAAUGUUUGAACAUUUUGGCAUGGUGUGCAGCCAUGCACUGAAGGUAAUGAUACAGCUUGGUCUGCAGGAGGUUCCAGCCGGGCACAUAGUGAAGCGUUGGACAAGGGAUGCAAGGGAUAUACUCCCUCCAGAGUUUUUGGGUUACCAAAAGGACUAGGGUCCUCUCAAGUACUCUUCGCGGCGACAUAAUAAUCUGCAUCUGUUGUGCCUUGAAAUUGUUAGACUCGGUGACAGCAAUGUGGAUGCAUAUACUCUUGCGAUGGAGCAACUAAGAAAUGUGAAAACAUUGCUGGAGCCGGUGGCUGCUAUAUGUGAUGGCAUGGGGUUAUCAGAUAGAGAGCUGGCAGGUGAUUCUGCAGGUUCAGCUACAGCACACAAGCAGCAUUUUGGCCCAACAAAUCAGGUGCAAAGUGCCUCACAAUGUUCAUAUAGCUUUGCAGCGCCAUCAAGGAAGAGACCAGCUGGGUGCCCCACGACAAGCCACGACAAAGCACCAUACGAACAGCCAGCUAAGAGAAAUAGGUUCUGUUCAAUCUGUCGGGGCCAAGGGCACAAGAGCACAACAUGUCCGCAACGCGGUGAUCUUCCAAAGGCUCCAAGGGAGUCACCUCGUUGCUCCAGGUGCAGCCUGACAGGCCACAGAAGGAACACCUGCACCAACACGCCCAAGGCAGACUUCUAUGGUUGAUUUUAUC